rnacentral:rRNA from 1 species
CCUACGGGAGGCAGCAGUGGGGAAUCUUGUGCAAUGGACGAAAGUCUGACACAGCCACGCCGCGUGCGGGAAGAAGGCCUUCGGGUUGUAAACCGCUUUCAGCAGGAACGAAAAUGACGGUACCUGCAGAAGAAGAUGCGGCCAACUACGUGCCAGCAGCCGCGGUGAUACGUAGGCAUCAAGCGUUGUCCGGAUUUAUUGGGCGUAAAGAGCUCGUAGGCGGUUCAGCAAGUCGGGUGUGAAAACUCUGGGCUUAACCCAGAGCCUGCACUCGAAACUGCUGUGACUAGAGUUCGGUAGGGGAGCAGGGAAUUCCUAGUGUAGCGGUGAAAUGCGCAGAUAUUAGGAGGAACACCAAUGGCGAAGGCACUGCUCUGGGCCGAUACUGACGCUGAGGAGCGAGAGCGUGGGUAGCAAACAGGAUUAGAUGCCCUGGUAGUCCACGCCGUAAACGAUGGGCACUAGGUGUGGGUCUCUAACCAACGAGAUCUGCGCCGUCGCUAACGCAUUAAGUGCCCCGCCUGGGGAGUACGGUCGCAAGCUAAAACUCAAAUGAAAUUGACGG